rnacentral:rRNA from 1 species
GACAUAGGUGGCAAACGUUAUCCGGAUUUACUGGGUUUAAAGGGUGCGUAGGUGGGUUUGUAAGUCAGUGGUGAAAUCUCCGAGCUUAACUCGGAAACUGCCAUUGAUACUAUAGAUCUUGAAUUAUCUGGAGGUAAGCGGAAUAUGUCAUGUAGCGGUGAAAUGCUUAGAUAUGACAUAGAACACCAAUUGCGAAGGCAGCUUACUACGGAUAUAUUGACACUGAGGCACGAAAGCGUGGGGAUCAAACAGG